rnacentral:misc_RNA from 1 species
GGAAGUAAAAGUCGUAACAAGAUUUCCGUAGGUGAACCUGCGGAAGGAUCAUUCAUAAUAAAGUGUUUUAUGGCACUUUUUAAAAAUCCAUAUCCACCUUGUGUGCAAUGUUAGAUCUCGUCAAUCUUGGCGAGAUUUUUAUACAUCAACUCAUUCUUCAACUAAUUUGUCUGAAAAAUAUUAUGAAUACUUAAUUCAAAAUACAACUUUCAACAACGGAUCUCUUGGCUCUC